UAGAGUUUGAUCAUGGCUCAGAUUGAACGCUGGCGGCAUGCUUUACACAUGCAAGUCGAACGGUAACAGGUCUUCGGAUGCUGACGAGUGGCGAACGGGUGAGUAAUACAUCGGAACGUGCCCGAUCGUGGGGGAUAACGGAGCGAAAGCUUUGCUAAUACCGCAUACGAUCUACGGAUGAAAGCGGGGGAUCUUCGGACCUCGCGCGGACGGAGCGGCCGAUGGCAGAUUAGGUAGUUGGUGGGAUAAAAGCUUACCAAGCCGACGAUCUGUAGCUGGUCUGAGAGGAUGAUCAGCCACACUGGGACUGAGACACGGCCCAGACUCCUACGGGAGGCAGCAGUGGGGAAUUUUGGACAAUGGGGGAAACCCUGAUCUAGCCAUGCCGCGUGAUCGAUGAAGGCCUUAGGGUUGUAAAGAUCUUUCAGUGGGGAAGAUAAUGACUGUACCCACAGAAGAAGCCCCGGCUAACUCCGUGCCAGCAGCCGCGGUAAU
rnacentral:rRNA from 1 species